CUAUCUCAAUGUCCUAUGAUAGCAUAGGAUUACUGUUUAAGUUAGUACAACACAGAUAUGUUCCUCUAAUGAAUAUAUCAUAAAAUGCUGUCUAUGGUUAGUUAAUCAUAAAAGUACAGAAACCAACUCUUCACAUUCCAGAAGUCAUUUUUAAAGAGCCCAAGACCUCGGAAUGUUGUAAUUUAAAGAAAACUGACAUGAUGUGUAGAAACAAGAAAGAAAGCAUUGUAUGCAC